CGGACGGGUGAGUAAUGCUUGGGAAUCUGCCCAGUAGUGGGGGACAACACGGGGAAACUCGUGCUAAUACCGCAUACGUCUACGGGAGAAAGUGGGGGAUCUUCGGACCUCACGCUAUUGGAUGAGCCCAAGUCGGAUUAGCUUGUUGGUGAGGUAACGGCUCACCAAGGCGACGAUCCGUAGCUGGUCUGAGAGGACGAUCAGCCACACUGGGACUGAGACACGGCCCCAGACUCCUACGGGAGGCAGCAGUGGGGAAUAUUGGACAAUGGGGGCAACCCUGAUCCAGCAAUGCCGCGUGUGUGAAGAAGGCCUGCGGGUUGUAAAGCACUUUCAGUAGAGAAGAAAAGCUUAGGGUUAAUAACCCUGGGUCUUGACGUAACCUACAGAAGAAGCACCGGCUAACUCCGUGCCAGCAGCCGCGGUAAUAUGGAGGGUGCGAGCGUUAAUCGGAAUUACUGGGCGUAAAGCGUGCGUAGGCGGCUAGGUCAGUCGAAUGUGAAAGCCCCGGGCUUAACCUGGGAAUUGCACUCGAUACUGCCUGGCUAGAGUAUGGGAGAGGGAAGUGGAAUUUCCGGUGUAGCGGUGAAAUGCGUAGAUAUCGGAAGGAACACCAGUGGCGAAGGCGACUUCCUGGCCCAAUACUGACGCUGAGGUGCGAAAGCGUGGGUAGCGAACAGGAUUAGAUACCCUGG
rnacentral:rRNA from 1 species